UCUCUAUUCUCUUCUCUCUAUUUAUUUUGCUUCCCGUCUGCCUCUCUUCCCCUUUUCAUCGCAUUUGAUCUCGCAGUGAUUUGAGAUUUUUGGAACACGUCAGCUUUUUAUUGAAAAGUGCUAUUUCUUAUAAAUUUGGUGGUCUAUUUUUAUCACCAUCUUUUACUUUGCAUUUUGACAUGAGGUGCUUCUUUCUUUACCACCUUCGUGGCAACUUUUCAAUCCCCUUGUAUCACCUUCCUAUGAGCUGUUGUGUUUUGCCUCUCUCUCGUUAAAAACAAGAGCGCUCUCUCUCUCCUCCUACUAACAUGUACCCUCUCUCCCUCUCUCAAGUAAAGAAAUAAACCAGUGAGGUCUCUACUCUCUACUCUCUCUCUUUUGUAAAAAAAUUUGUUGCAUGCUUCUUAUUAAAUUUAAUGACAGAGGCUUGGAGACAGAAAGAAAAUGUUUUGAAGGGAAGAGAGAUUUUGUUUCUGAACUUGACUCAAUGUGUUUGGAAGCACAAGUAAUGGACAUUUAUGCUUGGGAGAUAGAAACGAGUAGAUGGUCAUAUGAUGCAAUGGCAUUGGCGGUGUCGGAAACAAGUAAGAGCUAGGGAAAGUUAAAGAGAGGAUGAACAUGAAGUAUGCGUGAGUGGACCUUUAGGCUUCAUUGCCUGAAGGCUCGUCAAGGUCCUUUUACUGAGGGGUUACACAGUUCAAGCCACUGCUCGUGAUAUCAGCCAAAAUCGACAACCAAAUCCCUCCCUCAAGGAACAAGAAUCGACGGCCAACCUUGUCGACAGUC